rnacentral:rRNA from 1 species
AGUGAACGCUGGCGGUAGGCCUAACACAUGCAAGUCGAACGGCAGCACAGUAAGAGCUUGCUCUUACGGGUGGCGAGUGGCGGACGGGUGAGGAAUACAUCGGAAUCUACUUUUUCGUGGGGGAUAACGUAGGGAAACUUACGCCAAUACCGCAUACGACCUACGGGUGAAAGCAGGGGAUCUUCGGACCUUGCGCGAUUGAAUGAGCCGAUGUCGGAUUAGCUAGUUGGGGGGGUAAAGGCCCACCAAGUGGACGAUCCGUAGCCGGUCUGAGAGGAUGAUCAGCCCCACUGGAACUGAGACACGGUCCAGACUCCUACGGGAGGCAGCAGUGGGGAAUAUUGGACAAUGGGCGCAAGCCUGAUCCAGCCAUACCGCGUGGGUGAAGAAGGCCUUCGGGUUGUAAAGCCCUUUUGUUGGGAAAGAAAAGCAGCAGGUUAAUACCCCGCUGUUCUGACGGUACCCAAAGAAUAAGCACCGGCUAACUUCGUG